rnacentral:lncRNA from 1 species
AUAUAGCAAUUUAGGGAAUCUGUUAACCUCAACUGGCAACGUUUCCACCAAGGAAUCACUCAAGUCUAAGAACUCUAGGUUUUGCAGCUUUCCGAUUGAUUUUGGAAGAUGUGACACCCGUGUAUCUCUUAAGCUUAAAUACUUCAGGUGUAGCAAAUUUCCCAACUCUUUUGGAAUUUCAUCUAUCGGACACUUUUCAAAAUCUAAUGUGGUCAAAAGCUUACAUUUUUCAAAUAUUGCAUCAAUUAUUGGCUUUUGCAGCUUUGCCCCGCAGAAGACCAUGACAGAGCGAGUUUGAGACCUGGUGCUUCCCUUUGGAUUGUCACUUCCUCCCUUGCUUAUGGACAUGUGCGUGCUAUGCCUUUCAAAGCUGAGGAAUUCCAAGAAACAUGGCCGAAACUUAGUUCUUCUGACCUGGAAAGAAUGACGUCUCGUACCAGAUCAUGCACUCGACAUGUUUUGGGAAUUCCUUUCAUGCUAGCUUCAUCUACUUGGACUAGACUUCGACGAAUGAGUCCAUUCAAGCACUCUUCCGCGGCUUCUUCUAAUGUCAAUCCUCGUUUUUCCUGUACAAAACCUUGAGCCACCCAUAACCGAAUUAUUCUUGUACGUUUGAUGGAGAAAUCUUCGGGAAGCAUCCCGAAAUACAAGAAACAUGCUUUGAGGUCGUAAGGAAGGUCGUGAAAACUGAGGGAGAGAAUUUUAGUGACAUUCUCAACAUGAGGAUCACUCGCCAUUGUAGAAUCAAGACUAUUGACCACUUUUUGCCAUUCUGGAAUGACCCUUUCUUUGGUUGCUAGAAGUCCACCAACAGCCACAAUUGCCAGUGGCAAUCCUCCGCAUCUUCUAACAAUGUCUUGCGACAAUUCCUCCAAAUCUUUUGGACAAUUCCCUUCAAAAUCAAACUUGAAUGCCUUUUUGCAGAAGAGUUCCCAAGCUUCUCGUUGAGGGAGAGAUUUCAUCUGAUAGACAUGAACCAAUGAAGAUCUCCUGCAAAAGUUAGCAACAUCCUCAUUUCUUGUCGUGACCAGUAUUUUGCUACUUUGUUGUUAUCCACCAAGGCAUGCUCCACAUCUCCCCAGAAGCGGAUUUCCCACACAUCAUCGAAUACAACUAAAUACCGUUCUUGCUGUAAAUAUUUUCUAAGUUCAUCAAUCAACGAUAAAGCGUCCAUUGUGACAAAGGCCUCAGGAAAAGGCUCUUUCUUAGCUUCAUAUAAUUUCUUUAACGUGCUCCUUAAGAGUUCCACCCUGUCGUAUGAUUGAGACACAGUAAUCCAAGCACGGCAUUGAAAGUGUUGUUUCACUACGUAGCUGUCAUAUACUUUCUUUGCAAGAGUGGUUUUUCCCACUCCUCCCAUUCCAACCACCGCGAUCGCUGUCCUCUGACAUUCUCCGCUUACCAAGAGGCUUAUCAAUUCAUCUUUUGUAGAUUCAAUGCCUACAAGCUCGGAAUCUUCAAUGAAAUGAGAACCUAAUCGAGGAUCAUGCAAGACAAUGUUACUUGAGCCUCCUUGCUCUGAAGAUGCGAACCGGAAGCCUUCACUUCUGUCCUUGAUUCUCUGAAGAGUUUUUCUAACACCAUGAAUCUCUGAUGCGAUCUUAUGGCGUAGAGGCAAUUUCCGAACCAAGGAAGAGACUUUAGUUAAGAAGCCCACGAGCACACGCCGAUCACGAUGUUGUGCCACAUGAAGCGUAUUAUAUUCGUCAAUGACAUCUUCAAUCUGAUAAGCAACUUCCCUUGCUUGCUUUACCCAUACUUUCACACCUUCGCUCGCACCUUCUCUCUCAGCCUUUGAGUCUGCAUCUUUCAGAAAAGCUCUGAUGGCCUCCAGAUCAUCUUUGAUAUCUACAACUUCUUUGUGAACACCUUUCAGUAGUUGCACCCCUUGAGCUAGCAAUGGAGCCAACUUGUCAAUUACAAGACUCACUGCUGACUCUGCCAUUUUUUCUACUCCUUUCUAUUUGAUCUUCUUUGCUGCGAGAACAAAUUUUGAAUUUAGGUUGAAGUAAUUAAAUUAUUGUAGGUUGGUCAUAUUACAAAAUUAUUGUAACUGAGUGUACCAGCCUUGUAUAUCUUCGGUGAUUCCACCAUAGAUAUAACAAAGUUAUACCAGUUACUUGUUUCAAGAUUAUUUACCAAAUAUACCUUCAACGUAUUUUUAUCAAAAUUAUUUCCUUUUUUCAAAAAAAAAAAAAGCCUUUAAAUUAUGAUCUAAAAUCCGAAGUCUAUUUUCAUAAAUAAUUUCAAACGAACUCUAAAUUCAUAUAUUAAUGUAGAAAUUGAAAAUGAAAGAAAGCUUAUCUAUUACAAUUCACAACGUGUAAUAAAAAGACAAACCUCAUAUGAUCUCCAAUCCGAAUAUAGCUUUUAGAAUUCAGCUACACACCAAUAUUUUGAAUUUAGGCUCCUUGAAGUAAUUAAAUUAUUGUAGGUUGGUCAUGUUACAAAAUUAUUGUAACUGGUUGUACCAGCCUUGUAUAUCUUCGGUGAUUCCACCUUAGAUAUAACAAAGUUAUACCAGUUGAUUGUUUCAAGAUUAUUUACCAAAUAUAACUUCAACUUAUUUUUAUCAAAAUUAUUUCCUUUUUUUAAAAAAAAAAAACGCCUUUAAAUUAUGAUCUAAAAUCACAAGUCUAUUUUCAUAAAUAAUUUCAAACGAACUCUAAAUUCAUUUAUUAAUGUAGAAAUUGAAAAUGAAAGAAAGCUCAUCUAUUACAAUUCACAACGUGUAAAAAAAAAAAAAAAAAAAAAAAGACAAACCUCAUAUGAUCUUCAAUCCGAAUAUAGGUUUUAGAAUUCAGUACACACCAAUAUCCCUUUUUUAUAUUUAAAAGAGUUAGUUUGCUGAGAAGUUAUGGAUUUGGUUCGAGCAGGAGGAAGGAGACCAUCUGAUCCACCGUCGCCAUAAUUAAGUGCUUGCUGCUUCAACUCCUCGAUCUCUGUGAUAUACGGGUGCUCUCUCUCCCGUGCUCUUUCUGUUUUCGUUGUGCAGUGAACCAACUUAAGUACGCUGUGAAUUAAUGGCUAGAAUUGUCCAGUGUUGUGUGGAAGUUUAUAUGGUUGCUCCAGCAGAUAAAAUUAAUUUUAGACAUUUCUUUAAAAAAUGUGAACCACGAGAGCCUUUAUAAAAAUCAGAACUUUCUUUUCUUUUGAAAAAGUUAAAGAGAUAAUUUCAAAUUAUAUAGAUAUAUAAUUUGGCCUCCUAGUGGUUGAGGAAGAUCAAAUAUAUAAGAUUGAAAAUUUUAACAGUAUAUUUUCAAUUAAUAAAAGUUUUAUUGGCAAAAAAAAUCCAAUUAGAGGAUGAAAAUUCAAAAUUAGAUAUUUAAGGACUCAAUUGGAAUUUUCAGGGUUUAUUUGAAUUUAUUGAGGGCUUAAUUGCAAGAAAUUGAUUUUUAAAGUCAAUAUAGGCUUUAAUUAGAAGAAAUUAAAGUCUGGGGGUUGAGUUGCAAUUUUUAGGAGUUAAUUUGGUCAGGUCAGAGGCUUAAUUGCAUAAAUAUUAAAGCUUGACGGGCAAUUAGGAACUUGAUUGAAGAAAUUCAAAACCAAGAACCAAAUUGAAAAAGGCGCGUUAAUAUAUAUAAGAGUUGAAAGUGACCCAAUCGAGGGAUAAAUUGAAGAAAUUUAAAGUUGUUAGUCAAUUGAAGGUUAAAAUGAAAAAAUUCAGAAUCAAGAAUCAAAAUAAAAAAAAAACGGUCAAUUAGAGGUUGAUAAUUGAGUUUGUCAGUGGUGAAAUUGCUUAAAAUUAAAAGUUUGAAAGUUAUUAUGGGUGCAAUGAAAAGAAAUUGCGAAGGAAUUGGAGCUUCAUUGAAAUUUAUCAAUCCCAAUUUAAAUACCCUAAAUGAAACGUCGUUGAGACUUAAAGAAGAGAAACUGAGUGACAUGUCGAUUGACCUUUGUUUUUUUACAGUUUUGACUGAUCGAGUUGACAACUUCAAAUGUUUGAAUAUGAAGCUACAAAUCUUCAAAUUGAGCAAAGUUAAAUUUAAAUGAAAUGUGUGUAUUCCCUCUAUCAAUUCAGGUGGUUUCUAGCGAUGAUGACAUCAGAAUUCCUCUGACGAAGCCUUGAAAGUGGGCAACCAAGACAAACAUAACAAUACAACUAUCAUGUAAAAACUGAUCUAUUUUUCAUGUGUUCAUACACAAAACCUUCUCAAUGGGUCCAUAUCAAGGGUUUAUAGCACUUACCUUAAGAUCAAGAGGUCAAAAUAGGUUUAAAACCUCCUAAAACCUUAACAAAACCCUAUAAAUAUCCCUCAAGCUUAAAGACAGACGAGGAGGAUAAAAAAAGAGAAAUAUCAAUAAAAAAACAUAAGUGUAGAAUUCCUAGAGCCUAAACAAAAGAUUUCUUAGCUUUACAAGUUUAUGAGAGGUAAAAAAUUCCAAAAGAAAACAAAUAUAGAGUAGUUGUUUUAGGUUUAUUUUUUAAAUCCAAAAGGAGGUCAUCUAUGACCUGCUUUUGAUGUUUUUUUUAUUUACUUUUGUUUUAUAUUUAUGUUUAUAAGAAAAGAAAAAAGGUUUGAAAGCUUAACAAGUAAUCUUGUAUUCACCUUUUGUUGUUGUGUUUUUUCUUUUCAAUGAUGUUUAUUUUGAAGAUUUUUUUUAUGUUUUUAAUACAAUAAAGUUGUUGUUUAAGUUUUAUAUAUAUAAUGUUUUUUUUUUUUACCUUAAGCUAUGCAUGUUAAAGUAAAGAUGUUUUACCAUGAGUUUGCUAGGUCUACUCAUUUAUAAAAUGGGUUUAGAAAAUCAAUUUUGAAUCCAUGUUGUGUAAACAUAUAGUCUGUUUUAAAUUUAUGUUUUCUUUAUUUGGUAUCUCUUACUUGAUUUUGAUGUUUUGAUGUUUUUGUUAGUUUUUCGUUAGUUUUUCAUAUUCAAACAUGUUUUAUAUAAUAUUGUAACUUGUUGGGAUAAAAAAAAAGUAUGUUUUAGAAGCUAAAACUACUCAUAUUUGUGCUUGGCAAUGAUUGUCAUUUCAAGGCAUUUUUCUGAGUUUUAGGCAAUGUUCUUUUUAUUCUUGGGAAGAAAAUUGUCUUAGCCUCUAGAUUUGGAUCAAUUUUGGUCCAUUUCUUUGCACAUACAUUUUUUUUAUGCAUGAUAAAAAAAAAAGUAUGUGUUUGUCAAUUUCUAUUACAAAUUAAUUUUAAUUGACAAAUUCAUUAAACCUGUGUUGCACCAUUAAAUAUCUUGAUUUAUAUUUAUUUUUUAAUUUUUACAAUUUCACUUUUAUUUAUUAUCAAUUUAUUUUUUUUAUUGAAUUAUCUCGACCUCGUGAUCUAGGUCACUAAUAAACAUGUAAUCUUCAUAUAUUUCAUGUACAAAUUAUAAAUUUCAUGUGUUAACCCAACUUUACCUCGAAUAAUAUUUUUUUAUUUACAUUUUAUUGUAAUAAUCUUUUUUUUUUUUUAUCAUAUUAUCAUGUUAUCAAAUUAAUCAAAAUUUAACUCAAUUAUAGAAUCUCUCACACUUUUUUAAAAACAUUAUCAUUUCUUCUUCUUCUUUUCAAGUUUAAAAAAAAAAAAUUGAUCAUGCCCCGACAGCGCGCAGACCAUCAAUCCAGUGAAGGCAUGAACAACUAUAGAUAUCAUAGGAUUUGGAUACUCUCAUGUUCCAAGGAACAUGAUAUAACAUUCACAAUUGCUACGUAUUCAACAUCCAUGUAAGUCUAAUGCACUGUCAGUUCCUUGACUCUGUAUGACAUCUAACCAUUUGAAAGAAAUUUCCCUUCUAUUUAUUAGAUUCAGCAGUACAGUCCUUGCUAGAAUGAACCAAUAGCAACAGUGUUUAAAUUUUAGGCACAAAAAGCUAUAGUUCAUGUCCAUCAAGUCUUAAACUUCAUAGUUCGGCUCUGUCGAGUUUGAAAAUAUUACAUAUUUAUGCUUGUAUUGAAUAUAGAACAGCUAUUAAGCUAGAGUGGGGCUGUAAGAUUGCCAAAUAUGUAAAUUUUCAAGUAAAUGACCUUUCCAUGUCUUAUAAGCCCCAAAGAACAGAAAAGAAUCACAUUAUAAUGAAGAAGACUACUUCACCAGUAAGAUGAGUACUGAAGGAAAAUAGCUUACUCAAUCAUAAGGUUAUUGUCUUCCUUUAAAUAAAAACCUGCACGAGGAAAGUUGAAUAUGAUCCGAUCAAACUUCUGCAUCCUCAAAGUUAAGUGAUGCUUCAUUUUUGUUGCAUCCACUCCAUAUAAUGUAGAUGCUCCUAACUCCUUUAAAGAUUCCAAAUUUGAUUUUGCUUUCUUGUAUUUCUGGAUCACGACAUCUAAUAGAGGUGGAGGAAAAAAAUGAAAACAACUAGUAUCUGAUGUUUUGAUGAAUAGUGUUUCACCCAUUUCUCCUUAUCUUCUCCUUUUCCAAUAUCCACUUGUUUCACUGCCUGUUUAUCAGCCAUCAUUGGACUCUCUUUAGUAAAUACAGUCUGAUUUUUUAAGAGAAAUUCAGUGUAUGAUCACCGUAUAGGCCAGAUGAAUUUGUCACUGCAGUCCAACUUUAGUAGAGUGGUGGGCUUUUGUGGUGGUGAGCUAAAGAAGGGUAUCUUUAGAGAUGGUGGACUAAAGAGGGGUAGUUUGGGAAGGAAAAGAACAUGCAAGUUUGCUGCUUUAUGUGGGACACUGCUUCUCCUACAGGGACAUGAAUCAAUGAUCAUUGAUUUGACUAAAAACUAUUACAGGAGGAGCACCUGAAGCUGCUAUCCUGUUUCGAGUCCAAAUUUGUAACUUAGGUCAUACAAGCCCAUGGAAAAUGUAUCAGAAAACAACAAAUUGGCCAUGGGCUUGUGGUGGCCUAGGCUAAAGAAAGGGAAGAUGAACAAAAUUCAGUUUUUGGAUGCAAACCCUGGUAUGUAACCUAGCCAUUUGAAACACGUUUUCAGAUCUGCACCAAAAUAAUCUUCACAUGAAAAUAAAUAUGACAAUCAGCGCUGUCAAAAUACCACUUACCACUGCUGUCCCGCUUGGUCCACCUUUGAAGAAGCUAAGUUUUCCUUAUAUUGGUUUCAUUAUCUUAGUCAGAUCACGGCAUUUAUCUUUUAACUUUCCACUAAAUGUUUUCUUAAUGCAGUAUAACUUCCCAGUCCAGAGCUGAUAUCAUAUUCCAGUACUAUCUUAAAUUUAAUAUAACCAAAUCAUAGCCAUUGGAUCAGUAGGAUUUUGAAUCAUUGGUCACCAACUUAAAAGGUCCAAAAUACAAAAGUACUUGAAGAAACAGUUUAGAAACUUGAGCCUUUUGCGUGACCAUUUCUUUAGCAAUUUCUUAUACAGCAGUGCAUAUUCAAAAGCAAAGGGCAAUUCAAACAAAAACAGCUGUGAUUUCCAACUUUAAAUCCACUUACACAUCCUUUCGCCAAUCUCAAAAAAACAAUUGUUGGCCCACUACCCAAACUUUACUUACUCCACAUCCUAAUAUACUUAAAGAAACAACAAUUUUAAUCUCCAUCUUCUCCAACUAAACUUGCUUUAGAAGUUUUUUCCUUCAAAAAACCUAGAGAUGCUUUCACUCCCUCCUCCACCACCCUUGCCGCUGCCCCCAGAAGCAGCUCCACCACUAGAAAAGCGAAGCUUUCCAGUCUCUCUCAAUCAGAUUGUUAUAUCAAAGCAAGCCAGAAAUCCACAAAGUUAUUCAGCAGAGACAUCAAAUUCAGACAGCAAGAAAGUAAGCAAGCCAAUCCAAGUGGCAAUCCAUUUGAUCAAGUACGCAUAACUUUUAAAGAUGAUGGACUGGAAACUGGAAUGGAAUUAAUAGAAAGAAAAAUGAUAACUGCACACGCGCGCGCGUGCACACACACAUGCACACAUCUCUUAACUUCUAAUGCCAGAGUUACGAACACUAAUUAACAAAACCAAGAGCGUAAGGCUGGUUUUACCACUACUCUGACAUUCUUUUCAUUCACAUCUUCAAGCAAUCAUGUACAAAGUUGAUUAAUUCUCCCUAUAAACACUAAACAAACCCCCUUGUUCCCUCUCGAUGCCUCCCGCUGCUAAAAGGUUGAUUAAUUCUCUGACGUCCGUGGGACGUAUAUGGAUUUCAAUGCAUGAAAAUUUCUGGGAAUCUUCCAAACUCAGACAUUGGGACUUCGUUAACAGAGUUGCUCUAGGGCGUAAAACCUCUGUUACAUGUUCCAAAUGAGUGACUAGCACCUUCCAUCGUGAUAUCAACAGCCAAAGGUGUCAGCCUGUAGUCUAAGUCUUUUGAAUUCAUGCUGAAAGUUGUUUGAGGAAUUCCUCAUUCAAAUGUGAUUUUCUGACGUUUCCAUAUUUCAAUUGGAUUACCCUGAAGCUGCCGUGAUCCAGUUAGUUUAGAGUGAAUAUAUAUAUAUAUAUAUAUAUAUAUAUAUAUAUAUAUAUAGAACACAAUUGAAAGAUAAAAGUGCUUACCAAUUAGCUAGUGAAGGGAACAGGUAGAACCUGAACAUCAUCGAUAUUACCUACCACAAAGAAUGGAAGAACGCUGAUAAUUGAAUUUGAAUUCUAACGAGUAAAAAGAAUGAGGAAAUUCGAGAAAUAAUUGAAGAGCGCUGAUAAUGUAUUAGGAUUGCUAUAAGAAACGAGUUGGUUUAGAGUGAAUAUCAUUUAACUUCGCAUUACCUGUAGUAUCAUAAACCCUUAAGCCAGUUGGGUUAGCUACCCAAACCAGAGCUUCAUCCGUGCUUCAUAAGAACUUCCAUCAUCAGGAUCGUAAGUGCCGUCGUAUUGGAGAACUGGUACAUGUUUCACUAUCCAGUGGUCUUGGGCCUCUUGGCCAUUAUUGGGUGACAAUCUCUCAUUGAACUCAUCUGACAUCUUUGCCAGUGAUAGCUGUUUGAGAUUUUUCAAGUGUUGUAUCCCAGAAGGCACCUCCUUCAGACUCUGGCAGAAACCUAUUUCUAGUUUUUCAAGAAGGGGGAUUGCUCCUUGGUCUAUUAUUAUUGUAUUCAAUUCAGUCAAGCCUGCAAGACGUAGAGACUUGAGUUUCUGAAACCCUCCUCCUUCAAAAUGCAUCUUCUCUCCAUUGUAUGCACGAAGGAACCUAAGAAAUCUUAAAUUGGGCAAAGCUUGUAGGACUUUAAUCGAAUCACCAUCCAUCAACAUACUAACAGUCAAUCUCAAUUUAGCUAGAUUGUGCAGUCUGGAAAUCCACUCAGGCAGCCUUUCUAGUUUCCCCCAAAGACGGAGAGAUUGGAGGUGAAGAGGAGCAGAAGACAUUGCCUGCAAGUCAAGAAUUGCAACUCCAUAACCCUCUGAAGCAAUACUAAGCGACAGCAGGUGAGGCAUAUUCUCUAGGGCAAUGCAUAGAUCCCUUCCAUUUUCUUUUUUCAAAUUCACGAUCCCCAGUUUCCUUAAUUGCUUCAACAUUCCAAUCUCAUUUAUUAAUUUCCGUUCAUGAUCGUCACCUGCAUUAAUUAAAAAGAGUGUUUGCAACAGCUCUAACUGCCCUAGGCUACCACGUACAAGGAGCCCGAAAACCCGUUUAGGAUUACCCAAAAGAUAUCGCAAUUUAGGGAAUCUGUUAACCUCAACUGGCAACCUGUCCACCAAGGAAGCACUCAAGUCUAAGAACUCUAGGUUUUGCAGCUUUCCUAUUGAUUUUGGAAGAUUUGACACCAGUGUCUCUCUUAAGCUUAAAUACUUCAGGUGUAGCAAAUUUCCCAACUCUUCUGGAAUUUCAUCUAUCGGACACUUUUCAAAAUCUAAUGUGGUCAAAAGCUUACAUUUUUCAAAUAUUGCAUCAAUUAUUGGCUUUUGCAGCUUUGCCCCGCAGAAGACCAUGACAGAGCGAGUUUGAGACCUGGUGCUUCCCUUUGGAUUGUCACUUCCUCCCUUGCUUAUGGACAUGUGUCGUGCUAUGCCUUUCAAAGCUGAGGAAUUCCAAGAAACAUGGCCGAAACUUAGUUCUUCUGACCUGGAAAGAAUGACGUCUCGUACCAGAUCAUGCACUCGACAUGUUUUGGGAAUUCCUUUCAUGCUAGCUUCAUCUACUUGGACUAGACUUCGACGAAUGAGUCCAUUCAAGCACUCUUCCGCGGCUUCUUCUAAUGUCAAUCCUCGUUUUUCCUGUACAAAACCUUGAGCCACCCAUAACCGAAUUAUUCUUGUACGUUUGAUGGAGAAAUCUUCGGGAAGCAUCCCGAAAUACAAGAAACAUGCUUUGAGGUCGUAAGGAAGGUCGUGAAAACUGAGGGAGAGAAUUUUAGUGACAUUCUCAACAUGAGGAUCACUCGCCAUUGUAGAAUCAAGACUAUUGACCACUUUUUGCCAUUCUGGAAUGACCCUUUCUUUGGUUGCUAGAAGUCCACCAACAGCCACAAUUGCCAGUGGCAAUCCUCCGCAUCUUCUAACAAUGUCUUGCGACAAUUCCUCCAAUCUUUUGGACAAUUCCCUUCAAAAUCAAACUUGAAUGCCUUUUUGCAGAAGAGUUCCAAGCUUCUCGUUGAGGGAGAGAUUUCAUCUGAUAGACAUGAACCAAUGAAGAUCUCCUGCAAAAGUUAGCAACAUCCUCAUUUCUUGUCGUGACCAGUAUUUUGCUACCUUUGUUGUUAUCCACCAAGGCAUGCUCCACAUCUCCCCAGAAGCGGAUUUCCCACACAUCAUCGAAUACAACUAAAUACCGUUCUUGCUGUAAAUAUUUUCUAAGUUCAUCAAUCAACGAUAAAGCGUCCAUUGUGACAAAGGCUCAGGAAAAGGCUCUUUCUUAGCUUCAUAUAAUUUCUUUAACGUGCUCCUUAAGAGUUCCACCCUGUCGUAUGAUUGAGACACAGUAAUCCAAGCACGGCAUUGAGAGUGUUGUUUCACUACGUAGCUGUCAUAUACUUUCUUUGCAAGAGUGGUUUUUCCCACUCCUCCCAUUCCAACCACCGCGAUCGCUGUCCUCUGACAUUCUCCGCUUACCAAGAGGCUUAUCAAUUCAUCUUUUGCAGAUUCAAUGCCAACAAGCUCGGAAUCUUCAAUGAAAUGAGAACCUAAUCGAGGAUCAUGCAAGACAAUGUUACUUGAGCCUCCUUGCUCUGAAGAUGCGAACCGGAAGCCUUCACUUCUGUCCUUGAUUCUCUGAAGAGUUUUUCUAACACCAUGAAUCUCUGAUGCGAUCUUAUGGCGUAGAGGCAAUUUCCGAACCAAUGAAGAGACUUUAGUUAAGAAGACUGCGAGUACACGCCGAUCACGAUGUUGUGCCACAUGAAGCGUAUUAUAUUCGUCAAUGACAUCUUCAAUCUGAUAAGCAACUUCCCUUGCUUGCUUUACCCAUACUUUCACACCUUCGCUCGCACCUUCUCUCUCAGCCUUUGAGUCUGCAUCUUUCAGAAAAGCUCUGAUGGCCUCCAGAUCAUCUUUGAUAUCUACAACUUCUUUGUAAACACCUUUCAGUAGUUGCACCCCUUGAGCUAGCAAUGGAGCCAACUUGUCAAUUACAAGACUCACUGCUGACUCUGCCAUUUUUUCUACUCCUUUCUAUUUGAUCUUCUUUG